AUUGAACGCUGGCGGCAGGCCUAACACAUGCAAGUCGAACGAGUGGCGGACGGGUGAGUAAUGUCUGGGAAACUUCAUGAUGGAGGGGGAUAACCAAUCGAUAGAUUUGCUAAUACCGCCUUUUUUUCCUCGGCCGAUUACUGAUUGGCUAGUUUUGGGGGAAAAGGCAUACAAAGGCGAUGAUCAGUAGCGGUCUGAGAGGACGAUCAGCAACAUGGGACUGAGACACGGCCCAGACUCCUACGGGAGGCAGCAGUGGGGAAUUUUGGACAAUGGGGGCAACCCUGAUCCAGCCAGGCCGCGUGUAUGAAGAAGGCCUUCGGGUUGUAAAGUACUUUUGUUAGGGAAGCGGUACCUAAAGAAUAAGCACCGGCUAACUACGUGCCAGCAGCCCGGUAAUAC
rnacentral:rRNA from 1 species